rnacentral:tRNA from 1 species
GGAGAGGUGGCGUGAGUGGUUGAAACCACCAGUCUCGAAAACUGGUAUAGUCGAAAGGCUAUCGAGGGUUCGAAUCCCUCCCUCUCCG